GAUUAACGCUAGCGGCAGGCCUAAUACAUGCAAGUCGAACGGUAACAGGUGUAGCAAUACAUGCUGACGAGUGGCGCACGGGUGAGUAACACGUAUGCAAUCUGCCUUUAACUGGGGAACAACCCCUCGAAAGAGGGGCUAAUACCGCAUAACAUCACAGAACGGCAUCGUUUUGUGAGCAAACCUACGGGGGUUAAAGGAUGAGCAUGCAGCUGANAGUUAGUUGGCGGGGGUAAUGGCCCACCAAGGCGACGACGGGUAGCUGGUCUGAGAGGAUGGCCAGCCACAUUGGGACUGAGACACGGCCCAGACUCCUACGGGAGGCAGCAGUGGGGAAUCUUGCGCAAUGGCCGCAAGGCUGACGCAGCGACGCCGCGUGUGGGAUGACGGCCUGG
rnacentral:rRNA from 1 species